rnacentral:tRNA from 14 species
CGGGGCGUAGCGCAGCCUGGUAGCGCGCCUGCUUUGGGAGCAGGAUGCCGGAGGUUCGAAUCCUCUCGCCCCGACCA